CAACUACGACCCUAAUGGCUCUCUCACUUCGUCACUCUUUCUUUUUCAUGUUUUUUCUUCGCUCCUUCCUGUUUUUUUUGUUGAAGACAGAUGCCUAAGACUUAUUUCUCUAGCGAUAAGUCUAUGAAAAAAAAGACAAGAUUGUAGAGUACGAUGCUUUAUUUAGAUAUCUCUUUCUUCUCAUAAAUAUCGUCUUAAAUAUUUUUUUAUUUUUCAGAUUCUCCUUUACAUUUUUUCAUUUUCUCUUUACUGUGUUCAUUUUUCAUUUUUUUCAUUUUUAGUUUGCCUUUUCUCACACUGGUUUCAUCGAAAAACAUAUUUCAUUGAAGAAAAAGAAGAUUUAGCUUCAGAUCUAUAUGUACAUAAGAGAAAAUCUAUUGUAUACACGCCAGGAACUCAUAACCGUAGAUUAAACAGUGUAUACUCGCGAACAUAUCUCUUGAAUCACAGCAGUGGUAUGAUUUUCACCACCUCGGAUUGCAUACAAUAUUGUGGUACCAUUUUUACCACCUAUGUUUUCAUUUUGUGGUUUUUGUUUGGUGAAAUGAGGAGCUUGAUCCAACAAAGUUAUGAUCCAAGUUUAAGCUCGACGAAGGUUUUUUCAUAACAGUCAUGGUGGAGACGAUGUUUGAUUUUUUUCAGUUAUUGAUUUUGGCCUCUAAGAAGCCUUUUUAUGAGGUUUAAUGUACAUUAAUUUAUCUGUAAUACUUUGUAAUUUCAGGUUAAAAAUCAUGUGUACAUAUUACUUCA